CGUCACAUUUUAUUUUUUAAAUUAUAAAAAGUUAGAGAAAUUUGUUAUUUAAAACACAUAUUUGUUAUUUAAAACGGUACAAAAUACUUAAAAAGGCUUAAAAAUAUAUUCUAAUGGUGGGGAAACUCAUAAAAAUCAUCUAACGAAUAAAUGUGUAUAUUUUCAAAAAGAAAAUUAUAAUUACAAUAUUUGCAACAAAUGACUGUAUAGCAAUGAAGUCGGCACCAAUCGC